rnacentral:rRNA from 1 species
GGACCCGCACAAGCGGUGGAUGAUGUGGUUUAAUUCGAUGCAACGCGAAAAACCUUACCCACCUUUGACAUGGUCGGAAUCCUGCAGAGACGCAGGAGUGCUCGCAAGAGAGCCGACACACAGGUGCUGCAUGGCUGUCGUCAGCUCGUGUCGUGAGAUGUUGGGUUAAGUCCCGCAACGAGCGCAACCCUUGCCAUCAGUUGCUACGAAAGGGCACUCUGAUGGGACUGCCGGUGACAAACCGGAGGAAGGUGGGGAUGACGUCAAGUCCUCAUGGCCCUUAUAGGUGGGGCUACACACGUCAUACAAUGGCUGGUACAAAGGGUUGCCAACCCGCGAGGGGGAGCCAAUCCCACAAAGCCAGUCGUAGUCCGGAUUGCAGGCUGCAACUCGCCUGCAUGAAGUCGGAAUCGCUAGUAAUCGUGGAUCAGCAUGUCACGGUGAAUACGUUCCCGGGUCUU